rnacentral:tRNA from 1 species
AGUAAAGUCAGCUAAAAAAGCUACCGGGCCCAUACCCCGAAAAUGUCCACAGGACCUUACUA